AUUCUGGCUCAGGAUGAACGCUAGCUACAGGCUUAACACAUGCAAGUCGCGGGGCAGCAUAUAGAUAGCUUGCUAUUAUGAUGGCGACCGGCGCACGGGUGAGUAACGCGUAUCCAACCUUCCCCAUAGUAGGGUAUAGCCCGGCGAAAGUCGGAUUAAUCCCCUAUGUUGUUUGAAGCGGACAUCUAAUUCAAACCAAAGAUUCAUCGCUAUGGGAUGGGGAUGCGUCUGAUUAGGUUGCAGGCGGGGUAACGGCCCACCUGGCCGACGAUCAGUAGGGGUUCUGAGAGGAAGGUCCCCCACACUGGUACUGAGACACGGACCAGACUCCUACGGGAGGCAGCAGUGAGGAAUAUUGGUCAAUGGGCGCGAGCCUGAACCAGCCAAGUAGCGUGCAAGGAUGACGGCCCUACGGGUUGUAAACUGCUUUUAUGCGGGGAUAAAGUGCGGCACGUGUGCCGUUUUGCAGGUACCGCAUGAAUAAGGACCGGCUAAUUCCGUGCCAGCAGCCGC
rnacentral:rRNA from 1 species